rnacentral:lncRNA from 1 species
UACCUCGUUGUGGGUGUCCUUGCAUACAGAAGAAGCCUACAGCAGGCUUUUUAUAGCCUCAAAGUUUGGUGUCUCAACCCUUUAAAAG